AUUUGGCUGUCGAUUUUCAUAAAAUGGCAACGCUGCUUGACAGUUUCCCCGAAAGUACGUCUGCUCGCUUGUUCCCCAAAACGUCAGAAUUUUCGUUCGUUCACCUUCAUCGUUAGUUAUAGUUAUAGACAAGUUGGUUAAUAGACUUUAUUUCUGCAUGUGCUAAAAUGUGAAAGAAACCAAAUCGGUCAAUUGCGAAAUUUCCCGUUUUCAUUCAGUUUUCUCUUUUUUCUCGGUUACCCACCUGAGCUGUACGUUAGUCACUUCACGCGUCAAGAUUUGGAUUUUUCUUCAUUUAAACAGGAGGAAACGUAAAAGAGUCGUGCAGUCUACUGUCAACUAUUUUGUUCAAAUCAUUGUAUUUUACUAAAUGUGCCAUCAAAAUGAUACAGGAUUCGACAUAAUUAUAUGCUGUGUGUAUUGGACUUGCUAGAUCACUAACCCCAGCAUGGAACAAUCUCUCAUUCCAUCAUCUGGAUAACUGAUCAGUGGUUUCAUGUAUUCUAAACUGCUGGUUUCUAAAUUUGCAUGGCAGACUUUAUGAAAAGUCCUGUCAUUUCAAGAAAGCCAACAAGGUCCGUUGUUUGCUGACCUGUUGGCUGCUACCCUUGAAUCCUCCUUAUUGACUUCUUUACACAGGCCCUCCUGAUUUGAGAGUAAUCCUUCGCUACUGAUCAUGGACUUCAUCCAUUGGUGAAAACCGACGCGAGAAUGUUGUAAUUGAAGACUGAUAAAUUGUGUAGUUAGAUUCUAUUACAAGUGCAUAUCUGGGCUCCCUUCUUUUCUGUGGCCCCGUUUCCCUAACUAACCACUAACCAACGCCCGCCGGUGGUCACUCACCCG
rnacentral:lncRNA from 1 species